rnacentral:rRNA from 1 species
UACGUAGGGGGCAAGCGUUGUCCGGAUUUAUUGGGCGUAAAGAGCGUGUAGGCGGCCAGGUAGGUCCGUUGUGAAAACUAGAGGCUUAACCUCUAGACGUCGAUGGAAACCAUCUGGCUAGAGUCCGGAAGAGGAGAGUGGAAUUCCUGGUGUAGCGGUGAAAUGCGCAGAUAUCAGGAAGAACACCCGUGGCGAAGGCGGCUCUCUGGGACGGUACUGACGCUGAUGCGCGAAAGCCAGGGGAGCGAACGGG